UUGGGCUAUGGUUUCUUUUGGCAGGGGGCACAAAGAGGAGUUAAUGCGUGGUUCAGGCUACUCUCCGUGCAAAGGUAAUUGGAUUGUAAUCUCUUGGGAACUUCCAUUUUUACAGCCAUUUUGCGUGCUGAUUGUUGGCCGCUGUGUUGCUGUUAUUCAGGUGGCCCCUCGAUUCUAGCUCCGAACUACUGCCAAACCUGG
rnacentral:misc_RNA from 1 species